rnacentral:lncRNA from 1 species
UAAAUUUAGGCCCUUAUAAUAAUGUACGAUUAUUGCAUGUUUUCUUUACACUGUCAUAUCAGAUUGCAUACCAAUUUAAUACAGUUACAUAACACCCUAUUGGUAUAUUAAAAACAAACAUAAGGUUGUGAACUUGUGAUAGAUACAAAAUAAAUUAAACCAAUGAUUAAAAUAGCUGGAAAGAAAGAAGAAGAGAGAAUCAUAAGCCCGUCAAUGCAUUUUUCUCUGGUGAGUUGCAAACAACCGAUGGCCCAU